GCAGCCCGCAGCCCCGGUUCCCACCCGUGCCUCUCCCUCCACACCUCCCUGCAGGCUGAGGGAGCUGGCUCCAGUCUCGGCCAUCCCAGGAAGGGGCUCCCACAGUGCAGGGGCGGGCUGAAGGGCUCCUCAAGCCUGGCCAGAGUGGGCGCCAAGGCCGAGGAGGCGCCAAGAGCGAGCGAGGGCAGUGAGGACUGACAGCAGGCUGUCACCUCUCAUCUCUACUUAGGUGAAUGAUGCCUUUGGCCUGCUUAUGUCUUCCAUGGCCACAAUGAAUACAGUUGCAGAAACUCUCACUCUUUAUGGAAAAUAGAAGGGAAUAUGUACAAGAAACAAUUAUUGUAUGCAGAUAAGGCAGAUGGUGUCUUUGACAUUUCAUCAAGUCAGCAUCAUCUGAAAGUUUUUCAAGAAAUUGCCAAACUGUUCUCCAGAGUAUUUGUACCAUUUUAUGUUUCCACCAGCAAUAUACAAGUGGGUCUCACUCUGUCACCCAAGCUGGAGUGCACUGGCAUGAUAUUGGCUCACUGCAACCUCUGCCUUCUGGGUUCAGGUGAUUCUCCUAUCUCAGCCUCCCCAGUAGCUGGAACUACAGGCAUGCACCAGUUUUUGUAUUUUUAGUAGAGACGGGGUUUUUCCAUGUUGCCCAGGCUGUCGGCUAUUUUACUUUGCCUUUCCAUAAUCAUCUUGUAUGUGUGAGAUACAUACAUACAUAUGUGUGUAUAUGUAUGUAUUAUUGUAUAUAUCUCUAUAUAUAACCUUAUUAUAGAUAAUUUUAUAAUAUAAUCUUCAUCUAAUUUUGAUAGAGAUUACAUUAAACUUGUGUAACAAUUCAGGAAGAACUGAUAUAUUUACACCUCUUGAGACCAAAUCUGGAACAUGGUGUAUCUUUCCAUUUAUUUAGGCCUUCUUUGAUUUCCUCAACAUUUCUUCUUUAAUAAAAACAUUGUAGUUUUUGUUAUAUAAAUUCUGUAUCUGUUUUGUUACAUUUGAACCUAAACAUUUAAUUUUUUGAGUAAUUCUGAAAUGAUAUUGCAUUUCUAAUUGUUUCUCAUAUAUUCUUUGCUAAUAUGUAAAAAACAAUUUUUUUAUGUUUAUCUUGUAUCCUGUCACCUUAUUGAAGUCACUUUUUAGUUCUGAGAGUCUCUUUGUAGAUUUCUUGAGAUUUUCUACAGAGACAAUCAUACUAUUUGCAAAUAGAAACAGUUUUAUUCCUACCUUUCUAAUACAUAAGCGUUCAUCUCCUUCGUCUAUCAUACUUGCCAAAACUUCCACCACUACGUGUAUAAAAAUGAUGAGAGCAGAUGUCCUCACUUUGUUUCUUCUGUUUACCCAAGACAGUCUUUCUGUCUUUUUCUUUCUUUCUUUCUUUUUUAGCUUUUCUUGUUGUUGUUUCUAUAUGCUCUUUGUCAAGUUAAGAAAGUCCUCCUCUGUCUCUAUGUUUCUUGGAAUAUAUAUAAUGAAUGGAUGUUAAAUUUUGUCAAACACUUUUUCUUAUUGACUGAUAUUAUCAUGUGAUUUUUCUUUAACCUGUUAAUAUGUUAGAUACAUUGAUCUUUGAGUAUUGUACCAGCCUUGCAUUCUUGUAAUAAACUUUCAUUACAGUGUAUAAUCAAAUAUAGUGAGUUAUUUGAAUUGAAUUUGAAUUAUUAUAGUUGAAUUGUUUUUGCUAAUAUUUCAUUAAGGAUUUUGUUUCUAUGUAUAAUAGGGAUAUUUUUCUGUAGAUUUUGUUUCAUUUUGGUUUUUAAGUAUCAGAGUAAUGCCAGCUUCUUAAAUAAAUUGUGAAGUG
rnacentral:lncRNA from 1 species